rnacentral:rRNA from 1 species
GAUGAACGCUGGCGGCGUGCCUAAUACAUGCAAGUCGAGCGAAUGGAUUAAGUGCUUGCUCUUAUGAAGUUAGCGGCGGACGGGUGAGUAACACGUGGGUAACCUGCCCAUAAGACUGGGAUAACUCCGGGAAACCGGGGCUAAUACCGGAUAACAUUUUGAACCGCAUGGUUCGAAAUUGAAAGGCGGCUUCGGCUGUCACUUAUGGAUGGACCCGCGUCGCAUUAGCUAGUUGGUGAGGUAACGGCUCACCAAGGCAACGAUGCGUAGCCGACCUGAGAGGGUGAUCGGCCACAGUGGGACUGAGACACGGCCCAGACUCCUACGGGAGGCAGCAGUAGGGAAUCUUCCGCAAUGGACGAAAGUCUGACGGAGCAACGCCGCGUGAGUGAUGAAGGCUUUCGGGUCGUAAAACUCUGUUGUUAGGGAAGAACAAGUGCUAGUUGAAUAAGCUGGCACCUUGACGGUACCUAACCAGAAAGCCACGGCUAACUACGUGCCAGCAGCCGCAGUAA